CUUAGCCAAGGCAUGUAACCUCUGUCUCUGUUCCCUUGCCCAUGUGAAAUUGUUGUAAGGAUAAUGAUAAAGAAGAGGAAGUCAACAGUGGCUAACAUUUAUCCCUUGCUCACAAUGAACCAGACACCAAGCUAUGUGACUUUACCUGAAUGGUCUCAAUCAGUCUUCACACAAGCCUGCAAGAUGUGACUUGCUCCUUCUUGCCUUCCGCCAUGAUUGUGAGGCCUCCCCAGCCAUGUGGAACUGUCAGUCAAUUAAACCUCUUUCCUUUAUAAUCACCCAGUCUCAGGCAUCUUAAUAACCUCUAAGUUGCACCCAGGAGAGUUGGUGCAGAAAAGGAAUUCUGGCCAACCUAAUUUGUAUUUGAAAAUACCCCAUAGGCCAACGGAACAAGAUUCAGAUGAAUUUCACAGGCAGCUGAGGGCUACACAAGGAAAAUAAUGAUGUGAACUCAUACUUAUCAGCUAUCUGAUACCCUGAGCCAGACCCCGGUGUAUUCCUCACAACACCCCAAAAGUUCUGGAGAUGAGAAGUCCAAAAUGAGUCUUAAGAGGAUAAAAUCAAAGUAUUGACAGGGCUAGUUCCUUCUGAAGGUUCCAUGGCAGAAUCCAUUCCUUGCCUCUUCCAGAUUCUAGAAGCUGCAGGCAUUUCUGAGCUUGGACUGCAUCAUUCCAGCCUCUGCUUCCAUCAUCACAUAGUUAUUUUCUGUCCCUAACACCUCUUGCGUCUUUCUUACAAGGAUAUUUGUGAUUACAUCAGUCCUGCCCAGUUAAGCCUGGAUAAUUUUCCCCAUUACAAGAUCUUUAACACAAUCAUCUAUGCAAAGUACUUUUUGCCAUAUAAGGUAACAUUCACAGCUUCCAGGAAUUAAAACAUGGACAUAUUUGGGGGAGUCAUUAUUCAGCCUACCAUAGACAUCCAGGAAGAGAUGUUCUAUAAGCAGUUGAAAAUGUAAAUCUAGGCCAGGUGCAGUGGCUCACGCCUGUAAUCCCAGCACUUUGGGAGGCCGAAGUGGGUGGAUUGCUUGAGGUCAGGAGUUCGAGACCAGCCUGGCCAACAUGGUGAAACCCCAUCUCUACUAAAAAUAAAAAAAAAUUUAAAAAAUUAGCCGGGC
rnacentral:lncRNA from 10 species